CAAGGCUUCACUGGGCAGGGUUUGGACUGGUCCAUCAGGGAAGGGCAUGGUCUUCCAUCACCUUGAAAGGGCUGGGUCACUGUUCGUCUUCGGAUCAUUUUUCCUUGAAGAGAUACAAAGUGAUGCACCUUUAAUAUAUGUUAUGGUUUUGCAAGCAUAUAUCUCAUUGGGAGAAGGCAUCACAGUGAUAUCUCCUGAGGCAAUCCAGGAACAAAUCUAUUGAGGCUCCUACUUAUCUUGGUUGGUAUUUGACCCAGUGGACCUCAGAUGCAUGGAGAGUCAACAUUUGUCAUGUUUUUGGUAUGGAAAUUAGAUAAAAUUAUUACAACAUAAAGUGUAGCUUCAUAAAAACUAAGAAAGG
rnacentral:lncRNA from 1 species